rnacentral:misc_RNA from 1 species
ACACCUCAACUCCUUAUGGUUUUCCAUGAUGAGCUUGGACUUUGGGGGUUUUGCUGGCCUACAGUCGGCUCCUCUAAAAUAAAUCAGCUUACCAGUGUUUGGUGGGUAUCAUGGGUGUGAUAACUAUCUACGCUUGUGGUUUUUCCACCAGGUAACCUUCAGCAGUGGAGGUUCACUGGAGCUCAUAGAUGUCUCUCCUCAGUGAGGACAGCCCUUUGAAU